rnacentral:rRNA from 1 species
UACGUAGGGUGCAAGCGUUGUCCGGAAUUAUUGGGCGUAAAGAGCUCGUAGGCGGUCUGUCGCGUCUGCUGUGAAAACUCAGGGCUUAACCCUGAGCUUGCAGUGGGUACGGGCAGACUAGAGUGCGGUAGGGGAGACUGGAAUUCCUGGUGUAGCGGUGAAAUGCGCAGAUAUCAGGAGGAACGCCGGUGGCGAAGGCGGAUCUCUGGGCCUUACCUGACGCUCAGGCACGAAAGCUAGGGGAGCGAACAGG